rnacentral:tRNA from 1 species
GCCUGGCUGGCUCAGUUGGUGGAGCAUGCGUCUCUUGAUCUCGGGGUCGUGAGUUCAAGCCCCAUGUUGGGUG